rnacentral:rRNA from 1 species
GGUUGAUCCUGCCAGUAGUCAUAUGCUUGUCUCAAAGAUUAAGCCAUGCAUGUCUAAGUAUAAGCAUUUAUACAGUGAAACUGCGAAUGGCUCAUUAAAUCAGUUAUCGUUUAUUUGAUAGUACCUUACUACUUGGAUAACCGUGGUAAUUCUAGAGCUAAUACAUGCAAAAAAUCCCGACUUCUGGAAGGGAUGUAUUUAUUAGAUAAAAAACCAAUGUCUUCGGACUUUAUGGUGAUUCAUGAUAACUUCUCGAAUCGCAUGGCCUUGAGCCGGCGAUGGUUCAUUCAA